rnacentral:rRNA from 1 species
GUGUCGAGAGGACGACCAGCCACACUGGGACUGAGACACGGCCCAGACUCCUACGGGAGGCAGCAG